GACGAACGCUGGCGGCGCGCUUAACACAUGCAAGUCGAACGGAAAGGCCUGCUUUCCCUUGUGUAUUGCGGGUACUCGCGUGGCGAACGGGUGAGUAACACGUGCGUGAUCUGCCCCCAACUUUGCUAUAAGCCUGGGAAACUGCGUCUAAUUCCCGAUAGGACUGCAGGGUGGUUCCUGUGGUGGCAGACGAUUUUCUAGUGGUUGGGGCUGAGCUCGCGGCCUAUCAGCUUGUUGGUGGGGGAAUGGCCUACCAAGGCGGGGACGGGUAGCCGGCCUGGGAGGGUGGACGGGAACAGUGGGACGGAGACACGGCGCAGACGCCUACGGGAGGAAGCAGAGGGGAAGAAGGAGCGAGGGGCGGAAGCCUGAGGGAGCGAGGCCGAGGGGGGGAUGACGGGCUUGGGGUGGUAAACUCCGGGCGAUCGCGAGGAAGCGACCGGGUUGGAAGGGUGGUGACGGUAGUGGUAGAAGAAGCACCGGCUAACUACGUG
rnacentral:rRNA from 1 species